rnacentral:lncRNA from 1 species
CACUUACAGCAGCGGAGACAGCAGUUUGCCCAAGCACACCAAGCGCUCUGACCACCAGGCUUUCGCUGUGCUGACAAAAAGAUGAGACGUUCAAACUUUUAUCGGUGUUAAGAAGAACCACAGGAGAGAAAUGACUCAAGAGUUUCCCAGGGAAAAGAAAAAUAAAUCACCAGGUCUGCCCGGCCAUGAACUGUUAAGAGAUGUUGUACAGAACACAAUAUCUUGAUACUAGCACCAGAUUUGUUUGUUUGCCCUCCUGGACCGGGACAGCGUGGUAUGCGCCUGCCUUCUUUGGGCUAGGAAAACUGUGUGAGUCAUACCAUGUUCAAAGUCUGCCUGGAGACAGACCAGCACUGAACCGAUGCCAUUUUCACAGGAGGUUCCCAUGUGCCAGCAGUGGGAAGAGCGUUCCUGAGCUGAAGAGGAGCGGGGAAGGCUUCUGCACUCACCCGCUGACAGCUUCCCAGCCACCAUCAUGAGAAAUGCCAGCGCUCAGAGUAGCUGUUUGCUUCCUUCCUCCUUUACAGCCCAUCUGAUGUCCUGCUGCUGCCUCGUAUUCAGCCUCAUGUCUUAUCUACACCGCCACACUGCUCGUUUGCUCUGUGGGUCAUCAGGCUGAGCCCGGCUCCUCUUACCAGCACUGUGAGCGUGGCUUCUCCUGGGGAGGUUCUUUAACCUGUCUCAGCUCCCAGCUUUUAUUUGGGGUUGGCAACUGCUGCCUGGUCCGCAGACAGCCUGGGACGGCAGGGAACCAUGGCUAGUCCUCACACCGGCUGCUCCAGCCGACCUGGCACUGGGCAGGGCUUUGACUCUGCUUGUGGGCUCUGCUUAUGAUCUUAUUUACAUUUGCACUGGAAAUGCAAGGCUUCUCCACCCUGGCCUCAGCUUUCCCCGCUGACUGCAAGUAUAUGAAAAGCGAACGUUGAUACUCCUAAUGACGUUGUCCCACACCUGAGGGCUGACAGGGGUGUGCUUCUGCACAUCAGGAUCCUGCUCACAGGCCUGGAGGCCAAACAGGGGGAAGGUUCAGCUCAUUAAAGUCCGUGUUAAUUGCAUAAACGCACAGCGAUUUUCCUUUCUGAGAAGCUAGCUACCAC